rnacentral:rRNA from 1 species
UUAAGCGACUAAGCGUACACGGUGGAUGCCCUGGCAGUCAGAGGCGAUGAAGGACGUGCUAAUCUGCGAAAAGCGUCGGUAAGGUGAUAUGAACCGUUAUAACCGGCGAUGUCCGAAUGGGGAAACCCAGUGCAAUUCGUUGCACUAUCGUUAACUGAAUACAUAGGUUAACGAGGCGAACCGGGGGAACUGAAACAUCUAAGUACCCCGAGGAAAAGAAAUCAACCGAGAUUCCCCCAGUAGCGGCGAGCGAACGGGGAGCAGCCCAGAGUCUGAAUCAGCUUGUGUGUUAGUGGAACGGUCUGGAAAGUCCGACGGUACAGGGUGAUAGUCCCGUACACCAAAAUGCACAGGUUGUGAACUCGAAGAGUAGGGCGGGACACGUGGUAUCCUGUCUGAAUAUGGGGGGACCAUCCUCCAAGGCUAAAUACUCCUGACUGACCGAUAGUGAACCAGUACCGUGAGGGAAAGGCGAAAAGAACCCCGGCGAGGGGAGUGAAAAAGAACCUGAAACCGUGUACGUACAAGCAGUGGGAGCACCUUCGGGUGUGACUGCGUACCUUUUGUAUAAUGGGUCAGCGACUUAUAUUCUGUAGCAAGGUUAACCGUAUAGGGGAGCCGCAGGGAAACCGAGUCUUAACUGGGCGUUAAGUUGCAGGGUAUAGACCCGAAACCCGGUGAUCUAGCCAUGGGCAGGUUGAAGGUUGGGUAACACUAACUGGAGGACCGAACCGACUAAUGUUGAAAAAUUAGCGGAUGACUUGUGGCUGGGGGUGAAAGGCCAAUCAAACCGGGAGAUAGCUGGUUCUCCCCGAAAGCUAUUUAGGUAGCGCCUCGUGAAUUCAUCUUCGGGGGUAGAGCACUGUUUCGGCUAGGGGGUCAUCCCGACUUACCAACCCGAUGCAAACUACGAAUACCGAAGAAUGUUAUCACGGGAGACACACGGCGGGUGCUAACGUCCGUCGUGAAGAGGGAAACAACCCAGACCGCCAGCUAAGGUCCCAAAGUCAUGGUUAAGUGGGAAACGAUGUGGGAAGGCACAGACAGCCAGGAUGUUGGCUUAGAAGCAGCCAUCAUUUAAAGAAAGCGUAAUAGCUCACUGGUCGAGUCGGCCUGCGCGGAAGAUGUAACGGGGCUAAACCAUGCACCGAAGCUGCGGCAGCGACACUAUGUGUUGUUGGGUAGGGGAGCGUUCUGUAAGCCUGCGAAGGUGACCUGUGAGGGUUGCUGGAGGUAUCAGAAGUGCGAAUGCUGACAUAAGUAACGAUAAAGCGGGUGAAAAGCCCGCUCGCCGGAAGACCAAGGGUUCCUGUCCAACGUUAAUCGGGGCAGGGUGAGUCGACCCCUAAGGCGAGGCCGAAAGGCGUAGUCGAUGGGAAACAGGUUAAUAUUCCUGUACUUGGUGUUACUGCGAAGGGGGGACGGAGAAGGCUAUGUUAGCCGGGCGACGGUUGUCCCGGUUUAAGCAUGUAGGCUGGUUGUCCAGGCAAAUCCGGAUAAUCAAGGCUGAGGUGUGAUGACGAGGCACUACGGUGCUGAAGUAACAAAUGCCCUGCUUCCAGGAAAAGCCUCUAAGCAUCAGGUAACAUCAAAUCGUACCCCAAACCGACACAGGUGGUCAGGUAGAGAAUACCAAGGCGCUUGAGAGAACUCGGGUGAAGGAACUAGGCAAAAUGGUGCCGUAACUUCGGGAGAAGGCACGCUGGUGUGUAGGUGAAGUCCCUGCGGAUGGAGCUGAGACCAGUCGAAGAUACCAGCUGGCUGCAACUGUUUAUUAAAAACACAGCACUGUGCAAACACGAAAGUGGACGUAUACGGUGUGACGCCUGCCCGGUGCCGGAAGGUUAAUUGAUGGGGUUAUCCGUAAGGAGAAGCUCUUGAUCGAAGCCCCGGUAAACGGCGGCCGUAACUAUAACGGUCCUAAGGUAGCGAAAUUCCUUGUCGGGUAAGUUCCGACCUGCACGAAUGGCGUAAUGAUGGCCAGGCUGUCUCCACCCGAGACUCAGUGAAAUUGAACUCGCUGUGAAGAUGCAGUGUACCCGCGGCAAGACGGAAAGACCCCGUGAACCUUUACUAUAGCUUGACACUGAACAUUGAGCCUUGAUGUGUAGGAUAGGUGGGAGGCUUUGAAGCGUGGACGCCAGUCUGCGUGGAGCCAACCUUGAAAUACCACCCUUUAAUGUUUGAUGUUCUAACGUUGGCCCCUGACCGGGGUUGCGGACAGUGUCUGGUGGGUAGUUUGACUGGGGCGGUCUCCUCCCAAAGCGUAACGGAGGAGCACGAAGGUUAGCUAAUCCUGGUCGGACAUCAGGAGGUUAGUGCAAUGGCAUAAGCUAGCUUGACUGCGAGCGUGACGGCGCGAGCAGGUGCGAAAGCAGGUCAUAGUGAUCCGGUGGUUCUGAAUGGAAGGGCCAUCGCUCAACGGAUAAAAGGUACUCCGGGGAUAACAGGCUGAUACCGCCCAAGAGUUCAUAUCGACGGCGGUGUUUGGCACCUCGAUGUCGGCUCAUCACAUCCUGGGGCUGAAGUAGGUCCCAAGGGUAUGGCUGUUCGCCAUUUAAAGUGGUACGCGAGCUGGGUUUAGAACGUCGUGAGACAGUUCGGUCCCUAUCUGCCGUGGGCGCUGGAGAAUUGAGGGGGGCUGCUCCUAGUACGAGAGGACCGGAGUGGACGCAUCACUGGUGUUCGGGUUGUCAUGCCAAUGGCACUGCCCGGUAGCUAAAUGCGGAAGAGAUAAGUGCUGAAAGCAUCUAAGCACGAAACUUGCCCCGAGAUGAGUUCUCCCUGAGACUUUAAGUCUCCUGAAGGAACGUUGAAGACGAUGACGUUGAUAGGCCGGGUGUGUAAGCGCAGCGAUGCGUUGAGCUAACCGGUACUAAUGAACCGUGAGGCUUAACCUU